rnacentral:rRNA from 1 species
GAUGAACGCUGGCGGCGUGCCUAAUACAUGCAAGUCGAGCGAACAGACGAGGAGCUUGCUCCUCUGACGUUAGCGGCGGACGGGUGAGUAACACGUGGAUAACCUACCUAUAAGACUGGGAUAACUUCGGGACACCGGAGCUAAUACCGGAUAAUAUAUUGAACCGCAUGGUUCAAUAGUGAAAGACGGUUUUGCUGUCACUUAUAGAUGGAUCCGCGCCGCAUUAGCUAGUUGGUAAGGUAACGGCUUACCAAGGCAACGAUGCGUAGCCGACCUGAGAGGGUGAUCGGCCACACUGGAACUGAGACACGGUCCAGACUCCUACGGGAGGCAGCAGUAGGGAAUCUUACGCAAUGGGCGAAAGCCUGACGGAGCAACGCCGCGUGAGUGAUGAAGGUCUUCGGAUCGUAAAACUCUGUUAUUAGGGAAGAACAAAUGUGUAAGUAACUAUGCACGUCUUGACGGUACCUAAUCAGAAAGCCACGGCUAACUACGUG